UUACCACGGUUUUACCACAGUAACUGCAGUUUUAAUGUGGUAUUUGUAGUUAAAACACAGUAACCACAACUCUUGCAAUGCUUUUACCAUAGUAACUGCAGUUUUAAUGUGGUAUUUGUAGUUAAAACACAGUAACGGCAACACUUGCAAUGGUUUUACCACAGUAACUGCAGUUUUAAUGCGGUAUUUGUAGUUAAAACACAGUAACGGCAACACUUACCACGGUUUUACCACAGUAACUGCAGUUUUAAUGCGGUAAUUGUAGUUAAAACACAGUAACGGCAACACUUACCACGGUUUUACCACAGUAACUGCAGUUUUAAUGUGGUAUUUGUAGUUAAAACACAGUAACCACAACUCUUGCCAUGCUUACAAUAUCUUUUUGUAUUGUAGUUGUAAUUCAAUAUUUUUUUCUGUUUUGCAGUUACUUCAGAUGACAUAUUCCAUCUCCAUCUCCCACAACCUUUAAUUCAACAGCUCUUUUAGGAAGCCAUCUCUCUCAAAAGCCUACUUACUGUCCAUUUGUCUCUCUCUCUCUCUCUCUAAUUCAACUUCAAAUUAGCUUAAUUGGCAUGACUUGUACAGCAUUGCCUUUACAUGAGCAAUAAACAAAAUUAUGAUUAUAUAAAAAUAAGAAUAAAUAAAUACAUUAUUUUUUUAAUACACCAGAAGUAACAGCAGUAUUAAGACAAUGUAAAAAUAAACUGUACAUGCAUGUACAAUAUUCUCACUUCUCUCUCUCUCUCUCUCUCUCAGCUUUUCCUUGCCUAUUUUUCUGACCUGUAAUCCGUAAUUCAUUUACACAUAUUUGUGCUCUCUUUCUUUCUUCUUCAUCAUGGCAUAUUUUAAAACUCAGAAUUAAAUUUUGACCAUCUGUCAGGAAGCUUCUUGCAUUAACAGGGAACUUGAACUCAAAUCUCCCAAUGCUGAUCUUGAUGAAGCUGCCAGGGAGGCUGAACAAGUCCUUCAAAGGUUCAACACUUCACAGCUGAAAAUGAAGACCAAAGGAAGGAGAGGGAUGGAUUUUGCCAGCUUGUGUGUUUACGGAAAACAAAAAAGCUGCAAAGGAAAACAUUUCCAAUGGAAGAAAGAGUUUGCAUGAUGUCUUUGUCAGACUAAAUCUGAUGUAUACAGAUGAACUCCGGAGACUGCUAGAGUUGCCAGGGAACUCGAGGCUGCUGAAACUGAAACGGCUACUAGUGAGGCUCAGCAAGUUCUUGCCAUGAUCAGCCCUCCUCAGCUGAAAUGUAAGAUCAAAAACGCAAAGAAAAUCAGUCGCAGCAAGCCAGGCAUACCAGUCCUGUUGGGGAUGAGGAAUGAACAUCAGAAAAAACAAAAAUGAAAAAGAUGCACAUUUCCAUUGAAUGAGCAAAUCAGCUGUGCGAUCAUCUUUGGAAUUUGGGCAGGAAAUUACAGAAUAUGAGGUAGAGAACCUGGCAGCUGGCACUGAAAACACUCAAUGUUGAGGUCAGACCUUACAGAAGUGGUCAGAGAAGCAGGUUUGAGUCCAAAGAUGAUGGAGUCUUUGUUGACGGGAGUAUUCUGUGGCCCCCAAGUGCAGCACUGCAGCCUGAAACCAUCAGUUAUCUGCUGUGAAAACUCCUUUUUCCUAACAGCAUUUAACACAUGCACUGUGGAGAACAUCCUGACUGGCUGCAUCCCUGCCUGGUGUAGGAACAGCACUGCCCUCAACUGCAAAGCUCUGCAGAGAGUGUUACGACCUGCACAGAAUAUUGUUGGAGGUGAGCUUCCCUCCCUCCAGG